rnacentral:lncRNA from 1 species
AGGAACACUUCUGACUGCAGUAUCUGCACCGAGUCAAGAGAAACUGCAUCUGCAGGACCUAGAGAAGCACCCGCGCUCUGUGCCCCACCGCCUGCUCCCUGCUGCCACGCUGCUUUCGGAGAAUCCCUUCCCUGAAUGGCGGCGGACUCCCAGAAAUGCCUAGAGAAACCAUUUUCUGUCUACCUCACAGAGCAGCAAGAAUUAAUGUCCUUAUUAACCACAUGCCAGUGAUUACUGCGAUACCAUGUU